CCAGGAGAGGGUCGGCAACACUACAUGGUGCAUGUGUGGGCACUGCUCCGCAAUGCAGACCACCGCGGAGUCUAUCUGCUGCCGUGAAGCAGAUUUGGAUUGUAGGUUAGGGGAGCUAUCCUGCAUUACCAUAUCCCGCACCUUCCAGAUGCUCUGUUGUGAGAGGGACGUCUUGGAAGUCUCCAUGCUAUCCCUGCGUGAAGUCUGUGCAGAGAGAUUGGAGCGGCCUAUAAACAGCAGUCUGUUCAGGUUAACUGCAUACAGACAGUUCACUUUAUGGGCCAGAGGACACCUUGGGAGGAGGAACAGGUUGCCUAUUCCAGCAUGUGUGGUGAACAUCAUCAGGACUGCUUUCCCAUCUCCAGAAUACCACGGCUUUGAAUAUUACGACGAUGAUGACUUUUAAUGUCGGUUAGUAUUGAAGUGACAUAUGGAUUGGUUUGGUUUUGUUCUGUCACAUCAUGCAAAUAAAAAUUGUAAUUUACAGAGACAAGUUAGUACUCACAUUUGUUUUAACAAUGAACAUUAAUUGUGGGGUAGUAGUAAUUUUGUCUCCUGUAAAGUGAUCAGAGUAACAAAGAAUUGACUUAUUUUUUUAUAGAAUAAAUGGAUAAUUUAAUAUCAUGUCAUCUAUCUCACUGCAGCAUUAAACAACUUAACUACUUAACUUAAGUAACAACUAACUUAACUUGCUCAGUUUGAUUCACUUAACAAGCAACCUGCAACUGUUUAGUGUCCUGUGUUUUUCAAAGCGGCUGAGCUUUCUUGCCACAGAUUGAGCCUUUUCAGGUUUCUCAACCCCUUUGUGCUGGGCCAGGGUGCGUGUUGUCUCUGUUUUGUGCUGUUGGAGUUCCGCACGUAUGGACGCAGCCUUGGCCCUGCGCAACACACCGGACACAAUGUCCUUCCUAAAGUGGCUCUGCUGACAUUGAGGUUGUGGUCCAGUGCAGCUAUCUUCAGCCUGGCCUCAAAGCUCUCCCUGAGAAACUUUUUCCUCUUGGUGGCGUAUUUUGUGUACAAGGAGUGUACACUCUCAAGCUGCCCUGUGCAUAAAGACGCUUUUGCAGAAGUGCCUUGUCAAGAACAAUCUUCUGCAGGUGUUAAAAGGCAGCAGAGUUUGGACAAAGCCAGGGCUGCAGGCUCUCCUCUUCUGGAGUAUAUGGAUGAUGCUCACAUCGGGUCAUCAUUUCACCACAUGUCCAGUUGUGGACAUUGGUGAUGUGGUGAAGGAUGGAUGUCCACUUCUCCUUGAGCCUGGCUGCGCUUCCUUCACAGGACCUUCUGCACAGACGGGUGGCAGUCGGUGGCAAUAACAGAGACCUGCACACCAUACUCUGCAAGCUGGACAGACACCUUUCCAGACCCUCAACCUCCAGCCAGUAGCUGCUCUUGACCUCUGUGACCAUGACAGUCUCCUGUGCCACCACCAAGUUUGAUUUGGUAUCCAGAACUGUGUUGAUCAAUCACAACAUGCUGAAUGGGUUGGGCAAAGACAAUGACCACAGAGGGAGAGCUGCAAGGUAGAGACUGUGGCAGACAACCUUCUCCCAGAUUGACCCAGCUGAACCCUCCAAUCCUCAUCCAUUGGUCUACACUGUUUCACAGAGUUGUGCCCAGAGUAGGAGUUGUCUCUGAUUUGUGCUGCUGGUGACUUAUAACUAUGGUUUCAUCAAAGUCAAAAUUGAGUCAGACUAUGUGUGAGUAAACGGUUUUGAUGCACACUUGUGAGCCAAUCACAGAAAAUUAUUAGUAUUAACCCAGACCAUGGCAUAAGAUGAUGUUAAUUCAAUGCAUAGAGAGAGUUAAUUGUUUUUUGGUGUUUAACAAACUGAAUGGUUCAUCACUCUGCCACCAUCAAGCUUGUAAGCCUGUUGCUGGGCAUGAUUUUGUAAAUA